rnacentral:rRNA from 1 species
GAAUCUGCGAAUGGCUCAUUAAAACAGUUAUAGUUUAUUUGCUAUUCGUUUAUAUGGAUAACCGUAGUAAUUCUAGAGCUAAUACAUGCAUUAUUCGCGACUCACGAAGCGUAGUAUUUAUUAGAUAAGCACCACGGGCUUCGGCUUGUGUGAGGAAUCAUAAUAACUGAGCGAACUACCAUCGGUAGUGAAGCAUUCAAGUUUCUGCCCUAUCAGCUUUCGAUGGUAGUGUAUUGGACUACCAUGGCGUUGACGGGUAACGGAGAAUUAGGGUUCGAUUCCGGAGAGGGAGCCUGAGAAACGGCUACCACAUCUAAGGAUGGCAGCAGGCGCGCAAAUUACCCAAUCCUAACUCAGGGAGGUAGUGACAAGAAAUAACAACUUCGGGCUUGCCCGAGAUUGGAAUGAGUACAACGUACAAUCUUUAACGAGUACCAACUGGAGGGCAAGUCUGGU